GCAAAAUAAUUCAUUUUUAUGCUUGGGCUACAAACAGCUCAAAUCGGCAACUUUUGCACUUUCAGAUCUGGCAACAUUAUUCAUGCUGUUCGUUACUUUAUUUGAAAAUGUCGUUCGUAAUGGAACUCGUUUCAGAGAGCUCCGAUGUCAUUCCAACAGAAAUUUUUGAAAAUUUAACGAGUUUCCUAUUUUAUCGAUAUUUUCCCACUGAAGAUGAAGCUCAGAAAUUUUGUCAUCUGGUGGGAAUGGUUCCACAUCCGGAUUUAACCAAUUUCAUUCCGCCUUGUCCUCGUUGCGGAGGCGCGAUGGAGAAGAAAGCCGAUUCGUCAGAGAAGUUUGGGUAUAUCUACCGCUGUGAGAAAAUAAAUCAAGGAAAAAACGAGCAGAUGAACUGGAGGCUUUAUCUGGAGAGCCAACUGCACCGGCGCGAUCUCUUGUGCCCAAAAUACAUUUUUUUGAAGGAGCUAUGCUCUCAACUCAAAAGGUCUAUAAAGUAGGAAUAAUUAUGGACAAUGAAACAUGAAGAUCAAAAGGAAUGUACAUAGAGUUACAUAAACAUAUGUAUAUACAUAGAAUUUGCCAGUAUUGAAUCUUCUUUUGGUAUGUAUGAUUGCUCAUAAAAUACAUGCUACAGAGUAUGAUCUUGGUUUUUUUGAAGGUGUUGCAUAUCAGUAGGUACUGAAUAAAAUUAAAUUCUGCAUGGGUUUUCCCUAAUACAAUCCAAGGCUUACCUUAAAAAAUAAAUAUCCAACAUCUUCACUGAGUUCUAUAUUUUUUAAAGGACUGUUUAGCGGCCAGUAGCCUAAAAGAAAAGGUCAGUUGCCAAAAGUGUAAUGUUUGGAACACAAAGUUAAUAAAUGGUGGUUCCUAUUUUUUGGAAAGGACUUUGUCUUCAAAAGAAUUAUUAGAAUAUGUUAGCUUUUUUCCAAUCACUGGAAGAAGUCUUUGUAUCUGACCUUGCAUAUUAUCAUUGGAAAGUCCUUCAGUGAUUUUACCAAUGGCCGAGCAGUCUUCGUACCCUGAACACUGGGAGUUCGGUUGUGGGUUUGCGCCUUGCUCAGGCGGGUUAGCCACAUGGAGUUUUUUGGGUUUUCUCCACGUCUGUAAUGCCUAAAUAGGGGCCAGUUUCCCUUAAAAAGACCUCUUGGGAGGCAUCCCCCCUAGGCAGAUCGCCCCAAGUGUUGCGUUGCCAUAACUUAACAAAACAAACACCUUCAGUGAUUUAGUGAGUCUAUUCAUGCUUUCAUGUUUAAGCAUAAACAGUAGGUAUGAUCAGGCAUUCCUGGAAGUAGUGCUGUGUUGUCAUCAAUGUAGAUAUUCUGAGUGAAUAUUCCAGAAUAAUUUUUGGCCUUUCUGUCUUUGUCCAUAAUUUAGCUGAAACAUAAUCAGAACUUCUCUCCUCAACAUUAGUGUGUGUGUACACAGUGUGUUCUCCAUCAGUUGUAACAAAGUUGAAUCAGGUAAUCGGCCAUUUUCCCGAUUAAUCGGUUUUAAUAAUCGGCCAAUUUUGUAUUUUAAUAUUUUUGUUAGAAUGUCACGUAAAAGGCUAAUAAUAAAAAAUAUUAAAUUUCUGUUAUAUAUUUAUUAUUUAUUACAUGACAAUCUAAAUACUAAAAAAAAAUUAACUUAAAUUAUUUCUUUUAUCAAUACAUAUCAUAAGGUAUAAUGUAAUCUAUUCAAAACUAUCUGUUUUAUUUAAAGUUUAAACUUUAAAUAUAUAAAACAAAUAAAAAUUUAAUAUUCAAACUUUAAAACCCUUAAACUGUAAUACAAAAACAUGAGAAUUUCACCAUUUUCAAAGCUCUUAAAUGUUACCUCCAACUCUGAAAAUUCUUUCACUUUCAAUGGAAGAUGCUGAGGGACUUAGAUAUUUCAUAGCUAUUUUGCUUAAAUUAGAAAAAAAUUUUUUUGAACUUUCCACCACAAAAAUGGGUCGCUGUCUUUGUAUAAAAGGUAAAUGUAAAUAUUAUUCUAAUUCUCGAUCGAAACGUUUGUUCGUUUCUUUUGUUUUUUCUUCAUUUUUAAAAACAUGCUUUUAUUCAUUCUUUCGUUCACCAGAAGUUAAUUCAUCAAAUAAAUUAGAAAAACUCAGAGAUUAUCCUCCAUCUUGAUUGUCUCCAGAAGCAGAAGCUUCAGAAUUUAAUUCUUCUUGAGAUUUUGAAUUAUCAACAUUAUCUAAGCUAUCGAUUGUCCAUCUUUUUAUUUUCUCUAUCAUUGUUUUUUUUUUUUUUUUGAAAUUUAAUUUUGAAUCUUGGAUCUAAUAAGGAUGACAAUCAUAGACUUGUUUUCUAUAUAUGCUGAAAAUCUUUUUAUAUUGAAUUUUCUAGUCCUUCUAUUGUGGAAUUAAUGCCACUAAAGGAACUACUGCUCUUUUGAUAAUACGAGAGACCACUGAUAUGUGCUCAAUGUGGAAAUUCUAUUAUCUAUAGCAUAUAUGCACAAGGGCUUUUUGCUGUUCAAAGUUUCUUUGCAACAUGCAGUAAAUAGAAUUCUAGCGAGUAGGAACAUCUUGAAUUAAUUUGUGUUUCUGCAAACCUAACUUGUCUCGCAAAUCUUCCAAUUUGCUUAUAGCUACAGAAGAAUGAUUAAAAUGUGUGACAGUAUUUCAGAUCUUGUUGAGAAAAUAUGCAUUCAUUUAGUGUCAGCUCCAGUGUAUGUGUAAAGCAUGAUAAUACUUCUAAGUUGCAAUUCCUGAUUCCAGCUACCAUAUUUGCUCCGGAAUCGCUCAGUACUAAGAAUAUCUUAUGACUUUUGUCAACUUAUAUCAUUCAAGAACUAUCUUUAUCUGUUCGCUGAUAAGUGUAGCUGUGUGGGAACCUUCAAAGGGAACAAUUUGCAAAACAGCUCUUGCUGAAAAUUAUCCUUCAACCAGUGAGGCUGUUACAUUUUAAAAAGGAAAAUUAUUUGUAGUUGCUGUCUAAAUAUCAGCGGUUAAUAAAAGAUCAUAAAUAAUGCAUCCCCCCUGUACUUAUAAAAGAAUAUACACCAGUUUUUCAAAUUGUGCUGUACAAUGCAUGAUAGGAGGAAAAAGUUUACAAUUAUCCCAAUUAAUCUUAAAAUCUUUCUAUGAUGCAUUAGUGAUCCAUUAACAGGUGUUUUGUAAUGUUUCAUUUGUGUGUUGUAACAUCAUUAAUUGUAAUCAAUGAACAUGUUGAUUCUGUGAUAAUUAGAUGAUUGAUGAUAUCCACAAUUACAAUAAGUGGCACCUACUGUAUAUGCAUUUUUGAUAAAACAUUUGAAUAUUCCAUAAUUCCUUAUGGUGAAUUGGAUUGCAUUGUUUUUGUAUUUAUAUAAUUUUUAUUGAUUUGAUUCUUGUAUAUUUUAAAAUAAAAUUUACUUUAUAAUCAUGCAUUGCUUGAUGUAUUUAAUGCUUAGUUUCACAGAUAAUUUAGUAAUCAUAUAUAAUAAAAACAAUAUCACAAAUUAAAAUGCUAUUGUAAACUGCUUGAUAUUUGUUGAAUUGAAUGCCUCUGCAAACCAUACACUUGCAUUAUUCAUUGUAAAUGUAGUCAAUAAGUAUCAAUAUCAGUUUGAAAUUUUUCAUCUUAUAUAAGAUUAAAAAAUGUAAUAUAGAUGCAAAGCAUAGUUGAAUUCCACUCAGAGUUGUAUACUCUUUGAGGUCAGACACUAUGCUAAAGUAAAUUCAUUUUGAUCUAUAGAAACUAAUUUUUAUUUUAGUUUUUAGAUCAGAUGAAACAAUUAUGUAAUAUUUGAAAUUAUGAAUAUAAUUACCUUUUAAUGUUUGAAGGAACCAAACUUAAAGUUUGGAUAAUUCAACAAACUAAUGUUAAUUCAUUAAAACAAAUCUGUAAUUUAUAUGUACUCUGUAGAAAAUCUUGAAGGAGUAACUAUCAUAAAAUUCUUAAACCCCAGAAAUAGUGUAUAAACUAAUUAAAGAAUUUAACAAAAGAUUCUGAAAUUGUAUACUGUGUAUUAAAGUGGCCAUAAAAGACUUGUAUUCUAUGUAUCAUACUUAUAGCUUGGUUUAUUUUAAGGAAUAUUAUAGUAUGUUUUCUAAAAGAUUACCACUAUUUGGAAACCUUUGUUAGGUAUAACUGAAAACAAAUUUAAUUCUCAAAAUUAUAAGAAUGAUGCUUAUAUUCUUAUGAAUAUUAUUUAUCAAGUCAAGCUUUGUUUAAUUUGGAUUUGGGCUUUCCUUUUGUUUAUUUACUAAAAUCUGUUAUCUUAAAACUAUUUCAAAUUCUUUCACAAUUGUAAAUGGUGUGGUACUAAAAUACCAAAUUAAAAACUCUCGAUGGCCAGAUUAAAAUUAACACAGCUGAUUUUAAAGUGACAAUAAGUAUCACAUUUCAGCAGGCCACAUAAAAGGUGAUUUUUCUAAAGUUCUACAUUUAUGAAAACAAAAAUAAUGUAAAUGAUAAUAUCAAGUGUUAUAUUUUAGCCUGUUAAAAAGGAAAGAAAAUUUUAACUGUAAUAAAAGGAAAUUUGCUGAAUUUAUCAUAUCAAUAUAUAGUGAAGUCACAUUGUAAUAUUUUUCAAUUUAAUGUUUAUCCUGAUGAUUACACAUUUAUUUUUAGUAGUCCCAUCUAGCGCUUCAUAAAAAGAAAUUUAGCUUUUCAAUCUAACACAUUUUUAAAUUGUGAACAGUAGAGGAAUAAAGAACCCUUACGUAUGAUAACAUUUGCAGUUAUAAAUCAAAUACUAUAAUAUAACAAACAUUAAAACCAUAUAGUUUGGUUAUUUUAGCCUAAGAUUGUUACGUUUAUCGCGAUACUCUGGCGGUACGAAAUAGCACAAUUUCAUUGGUCAAGUAGACACCAUUUGAAAAUAUAUAUUAUAUAUUUUCCUAACGUUGCCAACGAAUCAAAUUUCGCGAAAAACAGCAAAUAUUUAAACUGCACCCUCGAAAACCACUUAAAACAUUUUGUGCAGGCUGGUAACAUCUAUAUAUAUAAAAAUGAAUGUAUGUGUGUCUGUCCUUCAUGCAUUACCAC
rnacentral:misc_RNA from 1 species